GAGCCUGAGAAACGGCUACCACAUCCAAGGAUGGCAGCAGGCGCGCAAAUUACCCAAUCCCGACACGGGGAGGUAGUGACAAUAAAUAACAAUACGGGGUUCUUUAGGAUCUCGUAAUUGGAAUGAGUACAAUUUAAAUCUCUUAACGAGGAACAAUUGGAGGGCAAGUCUGGUGCCAGCAGCCGCGGUAAUUCCAGCUCCAAUAGCGUAUAUUAAAGUUGUUGCAGUUAAAAAGCUCGUAGUUGAAUUUCGGGGUUAGUAGGUUGGUCAUGCCUCUGGUAUGUACUGGUCUCACUGAUUCCUCCUUCCUUAUGAACCGUAAUGCCAUUAAUUUGGUGUUGCGGGGAAUUUGGACUGUUACUUUGAAAAAAUUAGAGUGUUUAAAGCAAGCUAACGCUUGAAUACAUUAGCAUGGAAUAAUGAAAUAGGACGUUCGAUCUUAUUUUGUUGGUUUCUAGGAUUGACGUAAUGAUUAAUAGGGAUAGUUGGGGGCAUUAGUAUUCAAUUGUCAGAGGUGAAAUUCUUGGAUUUAUUGAAGACUAACUACUGCGAAAGCAUUUGCCAAGGAUGUUUUCAUUAAUCAAGAACGAAAGUUAGGGGAUCGAAGACGAUCAGAUACCGUCGUAGUCUUAACCAUAAACUAUGCCGACUAGGGAUCGGAUGAUGUUAAUUUUUUAAUGACUCAUUCGGCGCCUUACGGGAAACCAAA
rnacentral:rRNA from 1 species